rnacentral:rRNA from 1 species
GAUGAACGCUGGCGGCGUGCCUAAUACAUGCAAGUCGAGCGAACGGACGAGAAGCUUGCUUCUCUGAUGUUAGCGGCGGACGGGUGAGUAACACGUGGAUAACCUACCUAUAAGACUGGGAUAACUUCGGGAAACCGGAGCUAAUACCGGAUAAUAUUUUGAACCGCAUGGUUCAAAAGUGAAAGACGGUCUUGCUGUCACUUAUAGAUGGAUCCGCGCUGCAUUAGCUAGUUGGUAAGGUAACGGCUUACCAAGGCAACGAUGCAUAGCCGACCUGAGAGGGUGAUCGGCCACACUGGAACUGAGACCCGGCCCAGACCCCUAGGGGGGGCAGCAGUAGGGAAUUUUCCGAAAGGGGGGAAAGCCUGACGGAGCAACGCCGCGGGAGUGAUGAAGGUUUGCGGAUCGUAAAACUCUUUUAUGAGGGAAGAAAAUAUGUGUAAGUAACUGUGCACAUCUUGACGGUACCUAAUCAGAAAGCCACGGCUAACUACGU